CCAGUAACACGUAACCCUAAAUGACUAAAUCCCUAAUCACUAUUCUCUCAGCUUUCUCCCUCUCCGUCGUUUUUUCACUCUUCAAUUUUCACCGCCGUUCGCCGUCGGUUGCUUGCGUCCCCGAACAGUCGAGCCUCUGCCAUCCACCGCACUGGUUCGUUUGUCUCGUUGUCACUGUUUGUCGUGUCGUCUGCAGCUCUACAGUCCAUCAUGCUGCCGUGGUUUGUUCGUGCACCAUUCGUUCGUUCAUCCACCGUUCGUGCAUAACUCUGCUGCAGUGCCGUUUUGGCUUGAUCCUCUUACCUCUAUUGUGUUUCGCUGUUGCUCACCAUUUCUUACUCUCUGGGUCUGCAUCGUGACUCUAUCUCUGCACUACACGAACAUAAUUGUGCUGCAUCUCUAGGUUUACAGAUAGCUGUUGUGGUUUGUUCCAUUCAGGUACCAAAUAUCUGAGAAUGUUGUUUAAAGAAAAUGAUAAAUGAUGAUUUUGAUGAAGACGAUGAAGAUGUUAUUGAUGUCAUAGAAGAUGAAGAUAUUAGAGGAUUUCAAUUUAUGUUUAUUAGAAGUUUAGAACUUUUAGU